AACGCGAAGAACCUUACCAGGUCUUGACAUACUAAUGACCGUCUUAGAGAUAAGAUUUUCCCUUCGGGGACAUUAGAUACAGGUGGUGCAUGGUUGUCGUCAGCUCGUGUCGUGAGAUGUUGGGUUAAGUCCCGCAACGAGCGCAACCCCUAUCGUUAGUUGCCAGCAUUAAGUUGGGGACUCUAACGAGACUGCCAGUGAUAAACUGGAGGAAGGUGGGGAUGACGUCAAAUCAUCAUGCCCCUUAUGACCUGGGCUACACACGUGCUACAAUGGUUGGUACAAAGAGAAGCGAAGCGGUGACGUGGAGCAAACCUCAUAAAGCCAAUCUCAGUUCGGAUUGUAGGCUGCAACUCGCCUACAUGAAGUUGGAAUCGCUAGUAAUCGCGAAUCAGAAUGUCGCGGUGAAUACGUUCCCGGGCCUUGUACACACCGUGUCGA
rnacentral:rRNA from 1 species